CCAGACUCCUACGGGAGGCAGCAGUGGGGAAUAUUGCACAAUGGGGGAAACCCUGAUGCAGCGACGCCGCGUGGGUGACGAAGUAUUUCGGUAUGUAAAGCCCUAUCAGCAGGGAAGAAGAUGACAGUACCUGACUAAGAAGCCCCGGCUAACUACGUGCCAGCAGCCGCGGUAAUACGUAGGGGGCAAGCGUUAUCCGGAUUUACUGGGUGUAAAGGGGGCGCAGACGGCAGCGCAAGCCAGGAGUGAAAGCCCGGGGCCCAACCCCGGGACUGCUCUUGGAACUGCGCGGCUGGAGUGCAGGAGGGGCAGGCGGAAUUCCUGGUGUAGCGGUGAAAUGCGUAGAUAUCAGGAGGAACACCAGUGGCGAAGGCGGCCUACUGGACGGUGACUGACGCUGAGGCUCGAAAGCGUGGGGAGCAAACAGGAUUAGAUACCCCCGUACG
rnacentral:rRNA from 1 species